rnacentral:rRNA from 1 species
AGCGUACACGGUGGAUGCCCUGGCAGUCAGAGGCGAUGAAGGACGUGCUAAUCUGCGAAAAGCGCCGGCGAGGUGAUAUGAACCUUUGACCCGGCGAUGUCCGAAUGGGGAAACCCAGUGUGAUUCGUCACACUAUCGUUAACUGAAUACAUAGGUUAACGAGGCGAACCGGGGGAACUGAAACAUCUAAGUACCCCGAGGAAAAGAAAUCAACCGAGAUUCCCCCAGUAGCGGCGAGCGAACGGGGAGCAGCCCAGAGUCUGAAUCAGCUUGUGUGUUAGUGGAAGCGUCUGGAAAGUCGCACGGUACAGGGUGACAGUCCCGUACACGAAAACACACAGGUUGUGAACUCGAAGAGUAGGGCGGGACACGUGGUAUCCUGUCUGAAUAUGGGGGGACCAUCCUCCAAGGCUAAAUACUCCUGACUGACCGAUAGUGAACCAGUACCGUGAGGGAAAGGCGAAAAGAACCCCGGCGAGGGGAGUGAAAAAGAACCUGAAACCGUGUACGUACAAGCAGUGGGAGCACCUUCGUGGUGUGACUGCGUACCUUUUGUAUAAUGGGUCAGCGACUUAUAUUCUGUAGCAAGGUUAACCGUAUAGGGGAGCCGAAGGGAAACCGAGUCUUAACUGGGCGUUAAGUUGCAGGGUAUAGACCCGAAACCCGGUGAUCUAGCCAUGGGCAGGUUGAAGGUUGGGUAACACUAACUGGAGGACCGAACCGACUAAUGUUGAAAAAUUAGCGGAUGACUUGUGGCUGGGGGUGAAAGGCCAAUCAAACCGGGAGAUAGCUGGUUCUCCCCGAAAGCUAUUUAGGUAGCGCCUCGUGAACUCAUCUUCGGGGGUAGAGCACUGUUUCGGCUAGGGGGCCAUCCCGGCUUACCAACCCGAUGCAAACUACGAAUACCGAAGAAUGUUAUCACGGGAGACACACGGCGGGUGCUAACGUCCGUCGUGAAGAGGGAAACAACCCAGACCGCCAGCUAAGGUCCCAAAGUCAUGGUUAAGUGGGAAACGAUGUGGGAAGGCACAGACAGCCAGGAUGUUGGCUUAGAAGCAGCCAUCAUUUAAAGAAAGCGUAAUAGCUCACUGGUCGAGUCGGCCUGCGCGGAAGAUGUAACGGGGCUAAACCAUGCACCGAAGCUGCGGCAGCGACACUAUGUGUUGUUGGGUAGGGGAGCGUUCUGUAAGCCGUUGAAGGUGUGCUGUGAGGCAUGCUGGAGGUAUCAGAAGUGCGAAUGCUGACAUAAGUAACGAUAAAGCGGGUGAAAAGCCCGCUCGCCGGAAGACCAAGGGUUCCUGUCCAACGUUAAUCGGGGCAGGGUGAGUCGACCCCUAAGGCGAGGCCGAAAGGCGUAGUCGAUGGGAAACAGGUUAAUAUUCCUGUACUUGGUGUUACUGCGAAGGGGGGACGGAGAAGGCUAUGUUAGCCGGGCGACGGUUGUCCCGGUUUAAGCAUGUAGGCGGAGGUUCCAGGUAAAUCCGGUACCUUUUAACGCUGAGGUGUGAUGACGAGGCACUACGGUGCUGAAGUAACAAAUGCCCUGCUUCCAGGAAAAGCCUCUAAGCAUCAGGUAACAUCAAAUCGUACCCCAAACCGACACAGGUGGUCAGGUAGAGAAUACCAAGGCGCUUGAGAGAACUCGGGUGAAGGAACUAGGCAAAAUGGUGCCGUAACUUCGGGAGAAGGCACGCUGAUAUGUAGGUGAAGCCCCUGCGGGUGGAGCUGAAAUCAGUCGAAGAUACCAGCUGGCUGCAACUGUUUAUUAAAAACACAGCACUGUGCAAACACGAAAGUGGACGUAUACGGUGUGACGCCUGCCCGGUGCCGGAAGGUUAAUUGAUGGGGUUAGCGGUAACGCGAAGCUCUUGAUCGAAGCCCCGGUAAACGGCGGCCGUAACUAUAACGGUCCUAAGGUAGCGAAAUUCCUUGUCGGGUAAGUUCCGACCUGCACGAAUGGCGUAAUGAUGGCCAGGCUGUCUCCACCCGAGACUCAGUGAAAUUGAACUCGCUGUGAAGAUGCAGUGUACCCGCGGCAAGACGGAAAGACCCCGUGAACCUUUACUAUAGCUUGACACUGAACACUGGUCCUUGAUGUGUAGGAUAGGUGGGAGGCUUUGAAGCGUGGACGCCAGUCUGCGUGGAGCCGUCCUUGAAAUACCACCCUUUAAUGGCUGGUGUUCUAACGUAGACCCGUAAUCCGGGUUGCGGACAGUGUCUGGUGGGUAGUUUGACUGGGGCGGUCUCCUCCCAAAGAGUAACGGAGGAGCACGAAGGUUAGCUAAUCCUGGUCGGACAUCAGGAGGUUAGUGCAAUGGCAUAAGCUAGCUUGACUGCGAGAGUGACGGCUCGAGCAGGUGCGAAAGCAGGUCAUAGUGAUCCGGUGGUUCUGAAUGGAAGGGCCAUCGCUCAACGGAUAAAAGGUACUCCGGGGAUAACAGGCUGAUACCGCCCAAGAGUUCAUAUCGACGGCGGUGUUUGGCACCUCGAUGUCGGCUCAUCACAUCCUGGGGCUGAAGUAGGUCCCAAGGGUAUGGCUGUUCGCCAUUUAAAGUGGUACGCGAGCUGGGUUUAGAACGUCGUGAGACAGUUCGGUCCCUAUCUGCCGUGGGCGCUGGAGAAUUGAGGGGGGCUGCUCCUAGUACGAGAGGACCGGAGUGGACGCAUCACUGGUGUUCGGGUUGUCAUGCCAAUGGCACUGCCCGGUAGCUAAAUGCGGAAAAGAUAAGUGCUGAAAGCAUCUAAGCACGAAACUUGCCCCGAGAUGAGUUCU